UACGUAGGGGGCAAGCGUUAUCCGGAUUUACUGGGUGUAAAGGGAGCGUAGACGGUGAUGCAAGUCAGAAGUGAAAGCCCGCAGCUCAACUGCGGGACUGCUUUUGAAACUGCCAAGCUAGAGUGUCGGAGAGGUAAGUGGAAUUCCUAGUGUAGCGGUGAAAUGCUUAGAUAUCACGAAGAACCCCGAUUGCGAAGGCAGCCUGCCGCAGCGUUACUGACGCUGAAGCUCGAAAGCGCGGGUAUCGAACAGG
rnacentral:rRNA from 1 species